rnacentral:rRNA from 1 species
UCGGGAAUUUUGGGCAAUGGGCGAAAGCCUGACCCAGCAACGCCGCGUGAAGGAUGAAGUAUUUCGGUAUGUAAACUUCGAAAGAAUAGGAAGAAUAAAUGACGGUACUAUUUAUAAGGUCCGGCUAACUACGUGCCAGCAGCCGCGGUAAUACGUAGGGACCAAGCGUUGUUCGGAUUUACUGGGCGUAAAGGGCGCGUAGGCGGCAAUUCAAGUCAUCUGUGAAAUCUCCGGGCUUAACUCGGAACGGUCAGAUGAUACUGCUUUGCUAGAGUGCAGAAGGGGCAAUCGGAAUUCUUGGUGUAGCGGUGAAAUGCGUAGAUAUCGGGAGGAACACCGGUGGCGAAGGCGGCCUUCUGGACGGAUACUGACGCUGAGACGCGAAAGCGUGGGGAGCAAACAGGAUUAGAUACCCAGGUAGUCCCUGAGCGGGCUGGCAAGGCGCAU